CUUCUUUUUUUUCCCUUUUCCACGUGACGCGGCGCUAGCGGUACACGUGUCUCCUCCCCCCCCCCUCCGCCCCCCGACACUCAGGCGGAGGGGGCGGGGGCUGUGGAAUGUCUUUGUCUGCGCGCGGGCCCGCCGAGCGUGGGGCAGCGGACCUGUGCUUCGUGGGCCACGCCUCCUCCAACGGCCGAGCCUCGGGAGAUCCCUGGAGAGAUGUGCUACGGAGAAGGAAUCGGAGGGCCUCCCCCCCUCCUCCCCUCCGGCUAGGAAAUGAAAGGAACGCUUCUGGGGACCCCGAGACGGGCUAGAGGGUUAAAGCGAUGUGAGGCCCCAAGACAGGGAAAGGCUGCCCCAACGGGAUGGGAAGAUGGGAGCCCUUGGUGAGGCUGAUCCAAGGAGUAAGUGGCAGGCGGGUGUGAGAAAGGGAAGCCUGGAGGGAGAAGUAGAAGACUAAAUGCCACUCAUUACAGGACUGCUACCCAGAAGGGUCAAUCGGAGACUCAAAGGCCGAAGAAAGGGGCUCCAGACCCAAGUAGGGCAUCCAGGAAGUCGGAUACUAAGCUUUCCACGAUAGCAGGUUCAAAACUGGCGAGAGAAUUCUUUUAAAGGAUGCAUUUGGGGUCGGAUCCGCAGGUAAAUCUGCUUGUCGCCUGCGUUCUAUCCCCAGGCCCUCAAUGGUGGAAGGAGGACCGGCUCUCACAGAUUGCCCUCUGACCUCCACACUCACGCUGGGGGCAGAUUAAGAUGCACCAUUGUAGUGUGCACCUGCGCUGAGGAGGGACAAACACAGGAGAAUUACCGCAAAAGGGAGCUCCAAGCCACCGAGGGUAUCGAAGGGACACCCAGUCCCCGCAAAACAAACCAAGAAGCAUUUUGGUCAGAUUAGACAGAGGGCACACCUGCAGUCCUAGCACUGGCGAGACUGAGGCAUUUUAGCGCAUACAUUUUGUUGCCUUCUGUUUAUUCUGUAAAAAGCUGAUCACAGGCCCAGUCAGUCCUUAAUCCGCGAUGGCUGAAUAGUUCUCAUGCUCCUACUGCUGGUAUGAAUGCUGGGUCCUUCAUAAUGGAUAGUACUACACUCAAAAAGACAGAAUUACCCCCCGCCCCCCGAGCUGAGGCCAAAUUCAGGGCCUUGAGCUUGCUAGGCAAGAGCUCUACCACUGAGCUAAAUCCCCAACCCCAUUUCACCGCAGAGUCCUGGCUGGCCUGGUACUCCCUCUGUAGCCCAGGGUGGCUUUGAACUCACAGCAAUUCAGUCUUAAUCUUCAGAAUGCUGGGAUGACAGAGAUAAAUCACCAUGAGACAGGCACUUAAUACUGCUCUAAAGACCAGGGUAAUGGAGCCCAAAUCUCUCCCAUUAAAAGCCUGAGGCCGAGAUGUCAAGGUGGUUCAGCCUGUCAGCAUAUUGUCAGGUCUGAUUGUCUGAGUUCAGUCCCCAAGACCACAGGGUGGGAGGAGAAACGUGACUCUCCAAAGCUGAGCUCUAGUCUCCAUAUGUAUGCUGUCACACAAGAACAUAGACACACACAAAAAUAAAGAUCUAAACAACUUACAA